GUUGGUGUGGGUAGCAGGAUGAGUUGCAGAGGACAAGUAUCGAAUUCGAGAUCUGCAAAGAAAAGAUCAAGGAUAACCAAGAGAAGAUUAAGAUCCACCAGCAGUUACCUUACCUCGUCAGAAGCAUUGUCGAGGUUUUGGAUAUGAAUCCAGAAGAGGAAGAGGGAGAUAGUGACAAUAUUGAUCUACUCUCAAAGGAAGGGCAAAUGUGUUGUGUUAGAAACUUCUACACAACGAUGGACCCUGAUAAGCUAAUACCUGGUGACCUUGUGGGAGUCAAAAAGGAUAGUUAUGUGAUCUUGGAUACUCUUCCUUCAGAAUAUGACUCACAUGUAAAGGCAAUGGAGGUUGAUGAAAAGCCAACUGAAGAUUAUAAUGUAUUGGGGGCCUUGAGAAACAGGUAAUGCAAUAUUGUGAUAUGUUCCUGCAAGUAAUUGCAAUAUUGUGAUAUGUUCUUACUCUAGAUCAUAUACACACACACACACACACAUCUUGAUUAGUUGGUGAGAUGAGUAACCUCUGUUUUUUCUUGUAAUCUACUCCCAAUUCUGUUUUGAAUCCCUUGUAUGGAAAGCCCAACUUCUCUUAAGUGGGUGACGUCUCAACUUAAUCUCCUCUAAAACAAGUACAUUUGAGUAUAGGGAAAGGUUAA